UACGAAGGGGGCUAGCGUUGCUCGGAAUCACUGGGCGUAAAGCGCACGUAGGCGGAUUGCUAAGUCAGGGGUGAAAUCCUGGAGCUCAACUCCAGAACUGCCUUUGAUACUGGAGAGCUUGAGUCCGGAAGAGGUGAGUGGAACUCCGAGUGUAGAGGUGAAAUUCGUAGAUAUUCGGAAGAACACCAGUGGCGAAGGCGGCUCACUGGUCCGGUACUGACGCUGAGGUGCGAAAGCGUGGGGAGCGAACAGG
rnacentral:rRNA from 1 species